rnacentral:rRNA from 1 species
GAUGAACGCUGGCGGCGUGCCUAAUACAUGCAAGUCGAGCGAACGGACGAGAAGCUUGCUUCUCUGAUGUUAGCGGCGGACGGGUGAGUAACACGUGGAUAACCUACCUAUAAGACUGGGAUAACUUCGGGAAACCGGAGCUAAUACCGGAUAAUAUUUUGAACCGCAUGGUUCAAAAGUUAAAUACGGUCUUGCUGUCACUUAUAGAUGGAUCCGCGCUGCAUUAGCUAGUUGGUAAGGUAACGGCUUACCAAGGCAACGAUGCAUAGCCGACCUGAGAGGGUGAUCGGCCACACUGGAACUGAGACACUGGCCAGACUCCUACGGGAGGCAGCAGUAGGGAAUCUUCCGCAAUGGGCGAAAGCCUGACGGAGCAACGCCGCGUGAGUGAUGAAGGUCUUCGGAUCGUAAAACUCUGUUAUUAGGGAAGAACAUAUGUGUAAGUAACUGUGCACAUCUUGACGGUACCUAAUCAGAAAGCCACGGCUAACUACGUG